rnacentral:rRNA from 1 species
AUACCAGCACCUCAAGUGGUCAGGAGGAUUAUUGGGCCUAAAGCAUCCGUAGCCUGUUCUGUAAGUUUCCGGUUAAAUCCACUAGCUCAACUAAUGGGCUGCCGAAAAUACUGUAGAACUAGGGAGUGGGAGAGGUAGACGGUAUUCGGUAGGAAGGGGUAAAAUCCUUUGAUCUAUUGAGGACCACCUGUGGCGAAGGCGGUCUACCAGAACACGUUCGACGGUGAGGGAUGAAAGCUGGGGGAGCAAACCGGAUUAGAAACCCGGGUAGUCC